rnacentral:rRNA from 1 species
GACGGAAGGUGCAAGCGUUGCUCGGAAUCACUGGGCGUAAAGGGUGCGUAGGCGGCCGUGCAAGUCUGGCGUGAAAGCCCCGGGCUCAGCCCGGGAAGUGCGCUCGAAACUGCGCGGCUCGAGUGCCGGAGGGGAGAGUGGAAUUCCUGGUGUAGCGGUGAAAUGCGUAGAUAUCAGGAGGAACACCGAUGGCGAAGGCAGGUCUCUGGGCCACUACUGACGCUGAGAAGCGAAAGCAUGGGGAGCAAACAGG